rnacentral:lncRNA from 1 species
UUUUGAGAAAAAUAGAUACAUACCUAUCUGAUUUACCUCUAAUGGAGAAACAAAUGUUGUCACUUAGGUGCUGGUGUUGGGUUCCCAAAGAGCACAGCUCAGUCGUGGGAGAUAUCUGUCAACCAUGAGGAAGCCCAGGUGAUGACGAAAAUGUCCUGAGCACCUCUUUUGGGUCCUUUGAAGUGUAAUAGCAAUUUUAAUCAAGUGGUUAUUACUGACAUUCAUUGGAAGCUUACAGAUGAAGGAACUGAGGCUCAGAACUGGGAAUUCAAAGUUUUUAGAACCAACACAUGAAAAUGGCUCAGAGGCCCUGGACUUAAGGAAAGGAGAUGAUCAAGGAGAUAAUGAUCAAGAAACUGAGUCUCAAAAAAUAUUUGAUGGAAGUCUAUCUGGGUCUAAUGCCAGGGCUUCUAACCAAUCCACACUAUAA